GAUGAACGCUGGCGGCGUGCCUAAUACAUGCAAGCCGAGCGAACGGACGAGAAGCUUGCUUCUCUGAUGUUAGCGGCGGACGGGUGAGUAACACGUGGAUAACCUACCUAUAAGACUGGGAUAACUUCGGGAAACCGGAGCUAAUACCGGAUAAUAUUUUGAACCGCAUGGUUCAAAAGUGAAAGACGGUCUUGCUGUCACUUAUAGAUGGAUCCGCGCUGCAUUAGCUAGUUGGUAAGGUAACGGCUUACCAAGGCAACGAUGCAUAGCAGACCUGAGAGGGUGAUCGGCCACACUGGAACUGAGACACGGUCCAGACUCCUACGGGAGGCAGCAGUAGGGAAUCUUCCGCAAUGGGCGAAAGCCUGACGGAGCAACGCCGCGUGAGUGAUGAAGGUCUUCGGAUCGUAAAACUCUGUUAUUAGGGAAGAACAUAUGUGUAAGUAACUGUGCACAUCUUGACGGUACCUAAUCAGAAAGCCACGGCUAACUACGUG
rnacentral:rRNA from 1 species